UACGGGGGGGGCAAGCGUUGUUCGGAAUUACUGGGCGUAAAGAGUGUGUAGGCGGUGCUCUAAGUUCGUUGUGAAAUCUCCCGGCUUAACUGGGAGGGUGCGGCGGAAACUGGAGUGCUUGAGCGCGGGAGAGGAAAGCGGAAUUCCUGGCGUAGCGGUGAAAUGCGUAGAUAUCAGGAGGAACACCUGUGGUGUAGACGGCUUUCUGGACCGUAGCUGACGCUGAGACACGAAAGCGUGGGUAGCAAACAGG
rnacentral:rRNA from 1 species